UUUUAAGUGUUCACAUUGAGAUUUCGUAAAUGUCCCGGAGGGGUGAAAAUUUUGAAAAGUUCCAGGAGUUCUGAUAUGAGUUCUGGGUACCACCUCACGAGUUCUAACGAAAAUGAUUAAGGCUCGAUGCCGUAAAACUAGUAUUUAAGAGAUUGUGCGCGAUUUUAAGUGUUCACAUUGAGAUUUCGUAAAUGUCCCGGAGGGGUGAAAAUUUUGAAAAGUUCCA